rnacentral:rRNA from 1 species
UACGUAGGGUGCAAGCGUUAAUCGGAAUACUGGGCGUAAAGCGUGCGCAGGCGGUUAUGCAAGACAAAUGUGAAAUCCCCGGGCUCAACCUGGGAACUGCAUUUGUGACUGCAUGGCUAGAGUACGGGUAGAGGGGGAUGGAAUUCCGCGUGUAGCAGUGAAAUGCGUAGAUAUGCGGAGGAACACCGAUGGCGAAGGCAAUCCCCUGGACCUGUACUGACGCUCAUGCAC